GGAGAAAACUCUAGAAAUUGAAUACAUAAGAGCUGUAGCUCCACGCAAGGAAGAAGAUCCUUCAUUACAUGAUGAUUGGGUCAGUGCAGUUGAUGGUUCAAGUCGGUUUAUUUUGACUGGUUGCUACGAUGGGUUAGGAAGGAUAUGGGAAUCUACU